ACCCUAACCCUAGCCGCCAGACCCCCUCCCUCCUUCCCCCCGGCCGGAGAAAAAGACCCAGCCGCUGCAAAGAAAAUUGUCACUGCCAGCCACUACGCCGAAGCCACUUCCAAUCACCAAAAGAGGUAAAAAAAAAUUUUCUUUGCUCAAAAUUCAAUUUUAAACACCUCCACGAUCAAAUCAGAGUAAAAGGACUGGCGGAUUGGCCAAAAACUGCGGGCAAAGUCUGGCGGCGCCCCUGCUAAAAAUUGCAAAAACCGCCUUUGAUGAGGCCCUUUUCGAUUCCCUUUUUGCGUAUUUUUCAGCAGAGGUGAUUAUAUCGGACGGGGUAUGAGGGUUUUAAUCUCCGAAAAAAAAAAUUCAGGGAAUCCGGAGAUUGUCAGUAGGUGCAGUCAACAAGUUUAGUUUUUCGGGCAUCAAUUUGAGUAAAAAUCUAUCACUCUGUUCUCUGUUAUAGAAUUGAAGUCAAAUUAACAAUAAUACGGUGUUUUAUACAAUUUAGAAAAUAUCUAUAAUUAAUUACGAGUUACUAAUGGAGACAGAAUUAAAAAUUAUCUACUGUUAUUUCUGUUGAUUGCUUUUAUGAUUUGAAUGCAUGAUAGUAUCUGAUUGAUCGAUUUUAUAGUUUUGAAUCCAUGUAUUGUUUGUUUUAUGUGUUUAUGGUUGAAUUAGAAAAAAUAGAGAUUAAAGAAAAAUAAAAAUUGUGCCCUCGAUUGAACGGAUCAAAUUCACUCAUGCACGCACGCACGGUCUGGAUGUGUUUCCU
rnacentral:lncRNA from 1 species